AGAGUUUGAUCAUGGCUCAGGACGAACGCUGGCGGCGUGCUUAACACAUGCAAGUCGAACGCGCUUUACUCCUUCGGGAGUAAAGCGAGUGGCGAACGAGUGAGUAACACGUGAGCAACCUGCCCUUGACUCUGGAAUAACAGCUGGAAACAGCUGCUAAUACCGGAUACGACCUUCGAUGGCAUCAUCUGGAGGUGGAAAGCUCCGACGGUCAAGGAUGGGCUCGCGGCCUAUCAGCUUGUUGGUGAGGUAACGGCUCACCAAGGCUUCGACGGGUAGCCGGCCUGAGAGGGCGGACGGCCACACUGGGACUGAGACACGGCCCAGACUCCUACGGGAGGCAGCAGUGGGGAAUUGUUCGCAAUGGGCGCAAGCCUGACGACGCAACGCCGCGUGGAGGAUGAAGGUCUUCGGAUUGUAAACUCCUGUUGACCGGGAAGAACAGGUUUCGGCCGAAUAGGCCGGAGCUCUGACGGUACCGGUUGAGGAAGCCACGGCUAACUCUGUGCCAGCAGCCGCGGUAAUAC
rnacentral:rRNA from 1 species